rnacentral:rRNA from 1 species
UACAGAGGGUGCAAGCGUUAAUCGGAAUUACUGGGCGUAAAGGGUGCGUAGGCGGCUUGUUAAGUCAGGAGUGAAAGUUUGCGGCUCAACCGUAAAAUUGCUUUUGAUACUGGCAGGCUAGAAUUAGGAUGAGGUUAGCGGAAUGUGGCAUGUAGCGGUGAAAUGCAUAGAUAUGCCAUAGAACACCAAUUGCGAAGGCAGCUGGCUAGACCUAUAUUGACGCUGAGGCACGAAAGCGUGGGGAGCGAACAGG